rnacentral:rRNA from 1 species
GUGGGGAAUUUUGGACAAUGGGCGCAAGCCUGAUCCAGCAAUGCCGCGUGCAGGAAGAAGGCCUUCGGGUUGUAAACUGCUUUUGUACGGAACGAAACGGUCCGGGUUAAUACCCUGGGCUAAUGACGGUACCGUAAGAAUAAGCACCGGCUAACUACGUGCCAGCAGCCGCGGUAAUACGUAGGGUGCAAGCGUUAAUCGGAAUUACUGGGCGUAAAGCGUGCGCAGGCGGUUUUGUAAGACAGGCGUGAAAUCCCCGGGCUCAACCUGGGAAUUGCGCUUGUGACUGCAAGGCUGGAGUGCGGCAGAGGGGGAUGGAAUUCCGCGUGUAGCAGUGAAAUGCGUAGAUAUGCGGAGGAACACCGAUGGCGAAGGCAAUCCCCUGGGCCUGCACUGACGCUCAUGCACGAAAGCGUGGGGAGCAAACAGGAUUAGAUACCCUGGUAGUCC